rnacentral:rRNA from 1 species
UACGUAGGCAGCGAGCGUUGUUCGGAGUUACUGGGCGUAAAGGGUGUGUAGGCGGUUGUUUAAGUUUGGUGUGAAAUCUCCCGGCUCAACUGGGAGGGUGCGCCGAAUACUGGAAUGACUUGGAGUGCGGGAGAGGUGAGUGGAAUUCCUGGUGUAGCGGUGAAAUGCGUAGAUAUCAGGAGGAACACCGGUGGUGUAGACGGCUCACUGGACCGUAACUGACGCUGAGACACGAAAGCGUGGGUAGCAAACAGG